GCCUCUAUAGCUCAGUGGUAGAGCACUGGUCUCGUAAACCAGGGGUCGUGAGUUCAAUCCUCACUGUAGGCA
rfam:Ciona savignyi cont_2393, whole genome shotgun sequence.